UACGUAGGUGACAAGCGUUGUCCGGAUUUACUGGGCGUAAAGAGCGCGCAGGCGGUCGAUCAAGUCGAGUGUGAAAGCCCCCGGCUCAACUGGGGAGGGUCAUUCGAAACUGGUCGACUCGAAGGCAGGAGAGGGUAGUGGAAUUCCCGGUGUAGUGGUGAAAUACGUAGAGAUUGGGAAGAACACCAGUGGCGAAGGCGGCUAUCUGGACGGUUUCUGACGCUAAGACGCGAAAGCGUGGGGAGCAAACAGG
rnacentral:rRNA from 1 species